GAACGUGCGAAACGUAAUGUGAAUUGCAGAAUUCAGUGAAUCAUCGAAUCUUUGAACGCAUCUUGCGCUCCUUGGUAUUCCGAGGAGCAUGCCUGUUUGAGUGUCGUGAAUACUCUCAAUUUCAAUCUUUUUGUUUGAAAUUGGAUUUGGAUGUUGUUGUUGAUCUAUUAACGACUCAUCCUAAAUACAUUAGCGAUCUGGCUUGAUCACACACAAUGUGAUAAAUUAUUUCAUCAUUGUUACACUCAAGUCAUGACUGCUUCUAACCGUCGAAAGACACCGCAUAUAUGCAUGUCAUUUGACCUCAAAUCAGGUAGGACUACCCGCUGAACUUAA
rnacentral:misc_RNA from 1 species